rnacentral:rRNA from 1 species
AGGACGAACGCUGGCGGCAUGCUUAACACAUGCAAGUCGAACGGAUGUAGCAAUACAUUAGUGGCGAACGGGUGAGUAACACGUGAGCAACCUGCCCUAUACCUUGGGAUAACUCAAAGAAAUUUGAGCUAAUACCGAAUAAGACCCCUCUAUCGCAUGAUAGAGAGGCAAAAGCGAAAUAGCGGUAAAGGAUGGGCUCGCGUCCCAUUAGCUAGUUGGUGAGAUAAAAGCUUACCAAGGCGAUGAUGGGUAGCCGACCUGAGAGGGUGAUCGGCCACACUGGAACUGAGACACGGUCCAGACUCCUACGGGAGGCAGCAGUGGGGAAUAUUGGGCAAUGGAGGCAACUCUGACCCAGCAAUGCCGCGUGAGUGAAGAAGGUCUCCGGAUUGUAAAGCUCUUUGAUUAGGGAUGAAGGAAAUGACAUUACCUAAAGAACAAGCCCCGGCUAACUACGUGCCAGCCGCCGC